UGGGGAAUAUUGCACAAUGGGCGCAAGCCUGAUGCAGCCAUGCCGCGUGUGUGAAGGAGGCCUUCGGGUUGUAAAGUACUUUCAGCGGGGAGGAAGGGAGUAAAGUUAAUACCUUUGCUCAUUGACGUUACCCGCAGAAGAAGCACCGGCUAACUCCGUGCCAGCAGCCGCGGUAAUACGGAGGGUGCAAGCGUUAAUCGGAAUUACUGGGCGUAAAGCGCACGCAGGCGGUUUGUUAAGUCAGAUGUGAAAUCCCCGGGCUCAACCUGGGAACUGCAUCUGAUACUGGCAAGCUUGAGUCUCGUAGAGGGGGGUAGAAUUCCAGGUGUAGCGGUGAAAUGCGUAGAGAUCUGGAGGAAUACCGGUGGCGAAGGCGGCCCCCUAGACGAAGACUGACGCUCAGGUGCGAAAGCGUGGGGAGCAAACAUG
rnacentral:rRNA from 1 species